rnacentral:piRNA from 1 species
UAAACUGUACGCCAGGAUAACCCAAAAGC